rnacentral:rRNA from 1 species
UACAGAGGUCCCGAGCGUUGUUCGGAUUCAUUGGGCGUAAAGGGUGCGUAGGCGGCCUGCUAAGUUUGGUGUGAAAUCCCGGGGCUCAACCCUGGAAUUGCAUUGAAUACUGGUGGACUAGAGUACUGGAGAGGAAACUGGAAUUUACGGUGUAGCAGUGAAAUGCGUAGAGAUCGUAAGGAAGACCAGUGGCGAAGGCGAGUUUCUGGACAGUAACUGACGCUGAGGCACGAAGGCCAGGGGAGCAAACGGG